UGGGGAAUAUUGGACAAUGGGGGAAACCCUGAUCCAGCAAUGCCGCGUGAGUGAUGAAGGCCUUAGGGUUGUAAAACUCUUUUCUAAGUGAAGAUGAUGACUGUAGCUUAGGAAUAAGCUCCGGCUAACUUCGUGCCAGCAGCCGCGGUAAUACGAAGGGAGCGAGCGUUGUCCGGAAUUACUGGGCGUAAAGAGCAUGUAGGCGGCUUUAUCAGUUGGGUGUGAAAUCCCGGGGCUCAACCCCGGAACUGCACUCAAUACUAUAAGGCUAGAGACCGAGAGAGGAAAGUGGAAUUACGAGUGUAGAGGUGAAAUUCGUAGAUAUUCGUAGGAACACCAGAGGCGAAGGCGACUUUCUGGCUCGGUACUGACGCUCAGAUGCGAAAGCGUGGGGAGCAAA
rnacentral:rRNA from 1 species